rnacentral:rRNA from 1 species
UGGGGAAUUUUGGACAAUGGGCGAAAGCCUGAUCCAGCAAUGCCGCGUGUGUGAAGAAGGCCUUCGGGUUGUAAAGCACUUUUGUCCGGAAAGAAAUCCUUGGCUCUAAUACAGUCGGGGGAUGACGGUACCGGAAGAAUAAGCACCGGCUAACUACGUGCCAGCAGCCGCGGUAAUACGUAGGGUGCAAGCGUUAAUCGGAAUUACUGGGCGUAAAGCGUGCGCAGGCGGUUUGCUAAGACCGAUGUGAAAUCCCCGGGCUCAACCUGGGAACUGCAUUGGUGACUGGCAGGCUAGAGUAUGGCAGAGGGGGGUAGAAUUCCACGUGUAGCAGUGAAAUGCGUAGAGAUGUGGAGGAAUACCGAUGGCGAAGGCAGCCCCCUGGGCCAAUACUGACGCUCAUGCACGAAAGCGUGGGGAGCAAAACAGGAUUAGAUACCCUGGUAGUCCACGCCCUAAAACGAUGUCAACUAGUUGUUGGGGAUUCAUUUCCUUAGUAACGUAGCUAACGCGUGAAGUUGACCGCCUGGGGAGCACGGUCGCAAGAUUAAAACUCAAAGGAAUUGACGGGGUCAUAGCUGUUU